CCUGCAGGCUGUCCAACUAAGGGCAUACUAUGCAGGCAGCACCUUGAGCUUGACAUAAAUGCGUCUAAUGAUGCACUCACUCCAUUCUUUCUAAGGACUGUCCCCUAGCACUCGCUGGUCCACUUGUCUCCUUACCUUCUUACUAGCAGGCAGAAGUUCCUGGUAUAGUCUGAGACAGAGAAAAGGUGUCUGUAGUGAGUGUAGAAGAAAGGGGACAUGC